rnacentral:rRNA from 1 species
GACAGAGGGUGCAAACGUUGCUCGGAAUUACUGGGCGUAAAGGGCGUGUAGGCGGGAAGGCAAGUCGGGCGUGAAAGCCCCAGGCUCAACCUGGGAACUGCACUCGAAACUGCCUUUCUUGAGUGCCGGAGAGGAAAGCGGAAUUCCUGGUGUAGAGGUGAAAUUCGUAGAUAUCAGGAGGAACACCAGUGGCGAAGGCGGCUUUCUGGACGGUAACUGACGCUGAGACGCGAAAGCGUGGGAGCGAACAG